rnacentral:rRNA from 1 species
GUAACACGUAGUCAACCUGCCCUGGAGACAUGGAAAACCCCGGGAAACUGGGAUUAAUCCGUGAUAGGUCACCUCAUCUGGAAGGAGAGAUGGCUUAAAGGGGUGCGAGAGCUUCUUUCUUGCAUUCGCUCCAGGAUGGGACUGCGGCCGAUCAGGCUGUUGGCGGUGUAUGGACCACCAAACCUGUAACCGGUACGGGCCUUGAGAGAGGGGGCCCGGAGAUGGACACUGAGAGAAGGGUCCAGGUCCUACGGGGCGCAGCAGGCGCGAAACCUUCGCAAUGCGCGAAAGCGUGACGAGGUUAAUCCGAGUGGUCCCCGCUGAGGGGAUCUUUUGUUGGCUGUAAAAAGGCCGAUGAAUAAGGGGAGGGCAAGUCUGGUGUCAGCCGCCGCGGUAAUACCAGCUCCUCGAGUGGUCGGGGCGAUUAUUGGGCCUAAAGCAUCCGUAGCCGGUUCUGUAGGUCCUCUGUCAAAUCCAACGGCUUAACCGUUGGCCCGCAGAGGAUACCGCAGGACU